UUUUCUGAAUAAGAGAAAAUUUUAAAUCAAACUAAGAAGAUAAAUCUACUCUUGGAUGAAAAGAGAAUACCUUAUCUAGAAAUAGUUUUUUGACUUCAAGAGUCUAAGGAUUAGUUUGUGAAGAUCAACUGUAAAGGCCUUUAAAGGCUAUGGGAUAGAAAGCUUUAUUGGUGCCUUUUUACUUCAUUUAGUAAGAAGCGGCUGCGGACCCCGGUAGCGCCUAUCUCUUUGAGAACAGCUGCUGCGUACUACCACACUUGUAAAUGCUGAGAAAUGGCUCAGAAUGAAGUGAGGACUUUGGAGAUGUCGCCAUUACUGUUUGGAGCCUUGGGUGUGGGCUGGCGAGGCAGGUAUACUGGGCAUAGAAUCGAUUUCCAAUGCCUUUAUUUCAUUCAUUCACCACACGUGCCGUAACUCUUCCAGGUAUGUUAACAUUUUUUAUGAAGCAAAGGCUAUAUAC